CAUUAUUUGUCAGCAAGAAAUAUUAAUAUAUAGAAAACAAGUCUACUACGAUAAUUUAGUUUUAAAGAUAAUGGGAGUGUGCUGUGUUCAUAAUUGUAAUAAAACAAAUAAAAUAGAAUCUAAUACACAUAUUUCUUAUCAUAAAGGCUCUGCCAAUCAACAAAUUUUCACUGAUUCAAUACUAUAUUACUAAUAACUGAUCUGAUAUUUAUAUUGAUUUUUAUAUACUAUCUAUCUUUGUAUCAAUGUCAUAAAUAUAUCUUAUAUUUUACUCAUUAUUAUUCACCUAUUUUUAAAUAUAAAUUUCCAUUAAAAUCCAAAUAAUUAUUGGAAAAAUGGUUACAGGCUAUAAAUAGGAAAAAUUUUAUGCCUAAUAAAUAUAGUAUUAUUUGUGGAAGGCAUUUUAAAAAUACUUGUUU